rnacentral:lncRNA from 1 species
AGGCUACAGGGGGCACGAGGUGGAAAAACAUUGACACAUUCUUCUAGACUAUAAUCCAGAAAAGAUAGAGUCCCUCCUGAUGGCAUAAAAGGUCUGGUGGUGAUUCCGAGCCAUGACCAGACAAGGGGAAAGCCUCUUUCCCCACCCCCAGCCCCACUCCUUACUAUCCAGUGAUAGGCAGAAGUGGACUGACCAACCAGCUGUGUCAAGAAGACAGUACUAUGAGUUCCCUUUAUGGGUCAGUGGAUUAAGGACCCAACAUUAUCUCUAGGAAGAUGCAGGUCCAAUCCCUGGCCUUGCUCAGUGGGUUAAGGAUACGGCAUUGUCACGCAGGUCGAAGAUGCAACUCAGAUCUAGUGUUGCUGUGGCUGUGGCAUAAGCCAGCAGCUGCCCGGGAACUUCCAUAUGCCCCAGGUGCGGCUGGAAAAAGAAAAAGAAACGAAAAAGAAGAGAGAGAAGAGUAAGACGGGGGAGGGUGGGGAGAAAAGUGUUAAAGUGACCUAGGAGACAAGGAGGAAGGAGAGAAAGACAGUGCCCGAGGUGAGAGGCUCCCUAGCCAAUCUGUAUGUCAUAGGGGUGCUCAGUGUUAGAACAGUAGCCAGCAAACUUGCUCUGUAAAGGGUCAGCAAGGAAACAUUUAGGUUUGGGACAGCCGCUCUCUGUCUCAACUACUCAUCUCUGCCAUUUCGCAUGAAAGCAGUCAUAGAGCUAUGUGUCAGUACAACUGAGAUUUGAAUUUCACAAAAUGUUCGAAUGUCACAAAUAUUCUUGAUUUUUUUUCCCCAACUGGUUAAAAAGUGUAAAAAUCAUUCUUAGCUCAUAUACAGAAACAGGCAGUGGGCUGGGUUUGGUUUGUGAAGUGUGGUUUGCCUUCCCUGGUUGAGAAUAAAGGUCUGUUGAUAGAUGACAAGCACAGAUGGGAUGGUCAGCAAGCACAGAGAAGCUUCUCCCAAACCUAUGCUCCUGUGGGUUCUGGAUGGGAUGGGAUAUAGGCUGGAACUGAGGGAAAGAACUGUUUUCUAUGCUUUUCUGGAUUUCCUGGGUGCUCUCUUAGCUAGCAAUGAGUUGUUUCGUAGGGGACUACACCACCCAUUUUCCCAUAAUUAACGAUGUAGUGAUGGGAGUUUGCAUUGCCUCUAUGUUAAUUAAAUUUUGAAAUACUUCUUCCCAUAUGUCUAUAAACCACAUCACAAUAUUCAAAAAACCAAUAAUAAAACAAAAGCCAUAUAUAUUUUGACUGUAACAUACUUCUCUGGCUACUAAAAAAGCUAGGUAACACCAGGAGCGUGCCCAUGAGAAGCUGGACCUUCCUGAAGCCUCAGUUGUCCAUCUGGGAAAUGGGCAGAACCUCCUUAGCAGUUAUCAGACUUGGUCUUGCUCAGUGGGCCACUCUGACCUGGAAGGUUCUCCCCCAGACCUUCUGCAGAUGCACAGUGUUUUAUAUUUGCAACCACAUCUUAGUCUCUUCCCUCAUUAAGGAAUAAAUGAUCUUUUCUAGUUUCCAAAGAUUUAUGUGGUCCUGCUUGGAAAAUACCUGAGAACCCUUCUGGGCUUUGACUUUUCUCCUAGAAACAUAUCUGAGGAGUAGCUGUGCAUCAAAUAAGAUGAUUAGGAAGAUCAACUUACAAGAUUCUUGACAAAGAGCCCAACCAUUUUCCUUGGCCUGGGCACAAGACUUCAGAUUACUUAAAAAUAAAUCAUCAAUAUCAUGUCACAUGCAGACUCUCAAACCACUAAAUCCUUCCUCCCCCAAACCACUGCUCCUAGAGUAAAAGGAUUCAUGUUGUUAACGGUUCCCUUCUUUUCUGCUCCUUGGAAGCAGUUAGUCCUCCUUCUUAGAGAGAAUGCUUGGGAUUCUUUCAAAGACCUCUUGCUUUAUCUGUGCUCCAAGAGCUCCAACUUCUCAGCUGCCACCCCAGACUCUCCUUCUCUGAUACCCAGCCUUUUGGAAGUGGGUAGAUAAAGAAGGAUCAAGAAAAAGAAGCGAAGCCUAGAGAAAAUAAGGAUGCACAUCGAAGGCUCUCUUUCCUGACACUUCUCCUGCUCUCAGCUGGCUCUGAUGACCAGGAAAGGAACCAGCCACUAGAUCUACCAGGACAUAGAAAGUGUGUGAUCCACAGAACUCAAACCUGAAAGGACCGUGCCAACAGGAUCCCACAACACCAGCAAUGGCAAACUUUGGCAUGUACAUUUCCAAAAAGUCAAAGCUCACAGGACCUGCCUGGCUCUUUACGGAGAGCUGGCCCCUCAUGGCUGUGUUUUGAGGAAGCCGAUGUACUUUUCCCAACUGCAAGGCUCCAGUCAAAACCCACUUUCUGCCAUGAUGCACCAGGUCGGUUCGGCCGACUUCCCACAAGCCUGGUUCUGAAGGAAGCACAGAGCCCUGCUGAAAACACAUUCAUCCUCUUCUCCCAUUUGAUCUUUCUUCCGCAUGCCUUUUGGAUUAAUGCUGGCAUUUUGUAUCCAUCUGUUUUCAAGUCUUGGUUAGAACUGUGCAAGUCCGGCUCUAGCUGUCUCCAGGGCCAGGGGCCCUCUACAGGGUGUAGCUCCAGAGCACGGUCUGUGGACAAUCAACUGCAUGUCCUAUUUCAAACCCACAAAACAAUGAGGGAGUGCCUCUUUUGUGCCAAGCAUUGUGUUGUUCAUCAGGUGCCUGCUAGAUGCCAUGUCAUGCUGCUGUUCAAAAUUCAGCACAGGCUCGCAUUUCACAGGGAGUAAAAGCUCAAGACAUUACAACAGCCUACAAGACCUAAAACAACCCCCUUCCACCUCUCAUCUCUUCAACUCUCCCUCUUACUCCCCAAACCACCAGGGCCCCAUUGCUCUCAUGUGACCAUGCUGCCGCCUCUGCCUUAGUGCCCUUGCACUGGCUGUUCCCUCCUCUCCAUCCAGAAAGCCCUUUCCCAGAGUGAUUAACUUUCUCACCUUCUGCAAGUCUUUGCUCAAAUACCACCUUUUCAACAAGGCUUAAACUGAUAGUUCUGUUGAAAACUGCGGCCCUGAGGCAGCACGCCUGAUCCCCCUUCUUGCCCUACCCUAAAUUUUCUUUUUCUGCAGCACUUAUCACCUACUGCCUUGGCCCAGUUUCCUAGAAAACAUAGCUUGAAGGAACACAAUUCCAGGGAAGCAGAAAUGAGGCAAAAGGGGAAGGAAGCAUAGAACCGCGGAGAGGAAGCCUAAGGGAGUGUGUUUCUAAAUGACCACAGGGCUGUAACAAGAGACAGUUCGGUCCCACAGGACAUCUUCAGAGAGGCUGAAUGAAGCUAAUGCAACCCCAAACAAUCUGCCCAGGGGAAGAGAAAAGAGCGUGUCCUUCACAACUCUCUCCCGUUGGUGAAAGUCUGCUGUGUGCGCGUUAACUCCCUCAUAUUUUCAGGUGGUGAAAAAGUAGGUGAAAGAAGGAGGGCCCUCAUGGAGUUCCCGUCGUGGCGCAGUGGUUAACGAAUCCGACUAGGAACCAUGAGGUUGCGGGUUCGAUCCCUGCCCUUGCUCAGUGGGUUAACGAUCCGGUGUUGCCGUGAGCUGUGGUGUAGGUUGCAGACACGGCUCGGAUCCUGCGUUGUUGUGGCUCUGGCGUAGGCUGGAGACUACAGCUCCGAUUCGACCCCUAGCCUGGGAGCCUCCAUAUGCCGCAGGAGCGGCCCAAGAAAUAGCAAAAAGAUUAAGAAAAAAAAAAAAAAGAAGGAGGGCCCUCAGACUGAUGGGAGCAUAGAAGACCCCACAGGAAAGGAGGGAGCUGAGAGGUGCAGCCCAGGCACCAGGCGAGGAGCUCUGGAGCACACCUGUGAGCAAUGUGAGAGCAGCGCAGGCAGUGGCCCCUUUGCCUGUAGGAGAGGCCGUGGUGGAUGGAGGAACAAGUGGCUCCAGCACUGCAGGCACAGACUGAAGGGCUGACAGGGCUGCUCCAGCUGGGCAAGGUCCAUCCAUGUGUGGAUCUGGAUGUGCAUAAACUGAAUCCUGUAUGACCUUCCAACACAGUAUUCCUCUCCCAGCUAGAAUACAAACUCCCUAAAGGCAAGAUCUUUGUCUGUUUGUGCUCCCUAAUAAGAGUCUAGAUUAAGGACUGGUCCCUGUUAGGUGCUUAGAAUGCUGUUCAAAGAAUGAAAGGGCUAUGAUAAUGAAUGAGAUACAGACUCUCCUUCAAUGAGUUUUCAGUGCCCAGGAGGACAGAGACAAGCAAACAGCUCAUCCCAGCCCAGAACCGGAGGGCUGUGCUGGUGGCAGGCCAGGCAGUAGCAGGGGUACUAGGCAGAGCUGUGGGCAACUGAUCUCUAGUGCCUCUGAUAAAACAAGGACACUGGAGUAGAACAAUGAGAUCUGGGCUCUAGACCCAACCUCAGCCAUUACCUGGCUACAAGAUCUUUCAAGAGUUAUCUAAAUAACAGUAAUUACUAUUCAUCAAGUACUCACUUUCUGCCAGAUCACAGGCUGAGUAAUUUACUGCCUUAGUCUGUUCAGGUGGCUAUGACAGAGAACCAUAGGCUGGCUGGCUUAUAAAUAGCAGAUAUUUAUUUCUCACAGUUCUGAAAACCCAAGAUCAAAGUGUUGGCAGAUUCAGUGUCUGGUUCAUAAAAGGCUGACUUUCACGGUGUCCUCACAAGACGGAAGGGACAGGGAGCUCCCUGAAGUCUUUUUUCAUAAGAGUAUUAACCCCAUUUAUGAGGCCAGAGCCCAAAUCAUCACCCAGAGGCCCCACCUCCUAACACUGCCAUUUUGGGGGGUUAGGAUUUAAUAUAUGAAUUUGGAGGGACACAAAUAUUUAGUCUAUAGUAUUUACAUACAUUUUCUUAUUUCAUUCUUACAGUUCAAUGAGAGAUAUGUGAUUCUUAUUUAAUAGACAGAAAUAUAAACUAAACCCAGAAAUGUUCAAUGAACCUACCCAGUUCUCUUAGAUAAAAGUGGCAGAACUAGGAUUCGAACUUGAAACUUCCUCUGCCAAAGUCUAAGCUCACGAUUACCCUCCUCUAGCACUGCACACCUGGCCUCAGUGCCCUCUUUAUAAAAUGAAAAGAUUAGACUACAUAAUCUUUCAAGUCCCUUCUCAUUAAGCUAUAUCCUAAACAUGUCAAAGAGAAGUGAUCCAGUCCAGACUUGUGGGACUGGAUAUUGUCCAGGACAAAUAUACCUACAAUGUACUGUGGGCCACCAAGCAGGUCUGAGUCAGCAGCAGUCCCCAUUCCAGCCCACAGACUGGUGGCCACAUCUUGCUAGCCUGUUCAUGCACAGAAGAUCAGCCUGGUCAGGGGAGAGGUGUUGCCUGAGGGAUCUCAAUGUGGGAUCAUGAAGAUACACAUAGAAUUCCUCUCUAAUUCCAAGUUGUGAAAUGUGAUUUACGGAAGUCCAACUACUCACUCACUACACAGCCUGAAGGUUUGAGGGCACCAGGACAAGUGCAGUUAAAGCCUGUGACUCAACUUAGGGCCUCUGUCAUUGGGCUAGGCAAUCACUGUCUGACAGAAACAAUAUGAGCCACAUACAUGAUUUUACAUUUUCUAUUAAAUGUAAAAUUUAAUAGAGAUUUUAAAUUUUUAUUUAAAGAAAUAGAUAUUUCUACUUCUUUAAAAAGUUAAAAUAAAAUGAUAAAAUUGAUAUUGAUAGUAUUAUUUCAUUUAACCCAAUAUAUCCAGAAUGUUAUCACUUCAAUAUGAGUCAAUAUAAAAAUGUACUGAGAGGAGUUCCCAUUAUGGCACAGCAGAAAUGAAUCUGACUAGGAAACAUGAGGCUGCAGGUUCGAUCCCUGGCCUCGCUCAGUGGGUUAAGAAUGUGGCACUGUCAUGAGUUGUGGUGUAGGUCACAGAUGUGGCUCAGAUGCUGCAUUGCUGUGGCUGUGGCGUAGGCCAGCAGCUGUAACUCCAAUUUGACCUCUAGCCUGGGAACCUCCAUAUGCCAUGGGUGUGACCCUAAAAAGCAAAAAAUAAAUAAAUAAAUAAAAAAUAAAUAAAAAUGUACUGAGAGGAAUUGGUUGUGUUUUGGUAUACUAACAAUGAACUAUCAGAAAUAGAAUAUUAAAAAAGAAAACCUUUUAAAAUUGCACCCCCCAAAAAUAAAAUAAAACACCUAGGAAUAAACAUGACCAAGGAGGUGAAAGACUUAUAUGCUGAGAACUAUAAAACAUUAAUAAAGAAAAAUAAAAAGGAUUCAAAGAAAUGUAAAAAUAUCCCAUGCUCUUGGACUAGAAUUAAUAUUGUUAAAACAGCCAUACUGGAUUUCCCAUUGUGGUUCAGUGGUAACAAACUUGACUAGUAUCCAUGAGGAUGCAGGUUUGAUCCCUGGCCUCACUCAGUGGAUUAGGUAUUGGCAUUGCUGUGAGCUUUGGUAUAGGUUGCAGAUGCAGCUUGGAUCCUGUGUUGCUGUGGCUGUGACAUAGGCCAGCAGCUACAGCUCGCAUCCGACCCCUAGCCUGGGAAUCUCCAUAUGCCACAGGU